AGCAGGCGCGGCAGGGCCCCGGCUCACAUUGCUCCGGGACCGCCCAAAAUGGGGAAAGGCAUCUGUGGUUUUCUUUUCAAAAUUAUCCUGCUAGUCAGGUGUAUCAGGCCUGGCAUGCAUCCUUGGCACAAGUUGUUGUCUGUCCUACUACUGAAUUUCAACUUGUUAGCAAUUUACUGCUUGUCAAAAUUAAUCUCAGGGUGGUUUGAAGGAAUUGAUUCCAACGUGGAGGGAGUUUUUAUCAUCCAAUAAGAACCAGACCUUAAGGCCCAGAGGAGCAGAAGCAUUGGUGUGAGAGUGUUGGCAAGUGACAUCUAUUAUUCUCAUUGCCACUUCAUCUUGGAUUUGUAUCAUGAGCUUGAUAAACCUCACACCUGCUGAUUUGAGGGAGAAGGAAAUGAAGAAGAAAAUACAGAGCAAUUGUCUCCUUGGAGCAACGCCAGCACUACAAGGACGACUUCAAUGCAGAAUAUGAGGAAUAUUGGAAUUUAUAUUUUAAGAUUGACAAGAUCAUCAAGAAAUUCAGACAAUUUCAGGAGCAAUGGAAGUCUCUGACUCCAGGCUCCAAAGCUUAUCAGAUGCUGCAUUAUCGAAUCCUAGCAGAUUAUCAGCAGUUACAACAGGGUAGCCCCAGCUACUCUGAAAUGAAGAGUGGGUGCCAGUACCUCCACAAGAAGCUGGCCCAUAUUCAGAGCCGCAUUUCUGAAUUUGACCAGCAGUGAGUGGAGUACUGGCACCAGACAUCAGCUUCAGCAUGGAAGAUCUCUGAAAUCAGGAUUUUUCAUUUCAACUAGAAGAUUAGAUUUUUUAGGAUUCUUUAAAUUAGUACAGAAGAGUAGGUUAUCUUAGCACUGAGCAGUAGGUGAUUUCUUAUAAAUGUAGGAUUAGUUCAAAGAAGUUUAGUAAGUUUAAGUCAAAGUUGAAAGAUGAUAGUAUUGAAAUUUAACAAUAAAGAAAUCUCACUAUUGGUAA